UAUCCCCUUUUACCUUUCGUGAUAAACUGGCUAAACUCAUAAAAAACAAAAAAAAAUAGCAUUGAAAUCGAUUUUUAUUGACCAAUCAGAAUUGCCUUCCAGGAUCUAUAAUUGCCUCAAAAUGUCCAAUAUAUAUACUUUUUAUUGACCAAUCAGAAUUGCCUUCCAGGAUCUAUAAUUGCCUCAAAAUGUCCAGUAUAUAUACAUUGUUGGACCUUUUGAAUAACAGCCAAGAAGAUCUUAUGAAAAUUGAACAUUUUUCGUAGCAAAGAUGUAAAACAGAUAUUGAGCAUUUUAGAAAAAUAUUUCGUAAUUGAUUUAGCAAAAAUUAAGUUUUAAAUCUAUUGGAUUUACUUAGUGAAAAUAGAUUGAAAAUCUUUAGCAC
rnacentral:lncRNA from 1 species